rnacentral:tRNA from 1 species
UAGCUCAGCUGGUAGAGCAACACUUUUGUAAAGUGAAGGUCCCCGGUUCGAGUCCGGG